ensembl:lncRNA
CCUGGCUGCUGAGGCAGCCACUUCCAGGGACGCUGGCUCUCCCUUCCUGCCCCCACCCUGCCCGGCACGCUUGGCACUGUGGGCAUAGGACAGGCACCGAGCAGAUGCAUGGACGCAUGUGUGACUGGCCCUUGGCAACUCACCUUUCUGCCAAAAGCGAUAGCAGGGCUUGUGGGUGAGAAACAACGAUGACGUGGACGCCUGCGUACAGUCCCCACUGCCUGCUGCUCCGGCGGCCUCCCCACACCUGGUCAUUGCUACGUUUCCAUCUGAUGUUUUCCGGAUGACCCCCACAGCCUCAGGACAUCUUCAGUGGGGCUGCAGGGAGGCGACUGCAUUGUGGGGGCUGAUGGCUGGCUUGCUGUUGGGAGGGGCCGUUGGAGGACACAGGUCACUGGGGGCGUGGCCCAGAAGGGUCUGCCUUCCUCCCUCAUCUCCCUGCUUCAUCUACACCCUGCCACGAGCAGCUCUCCUCUGCCAGGCCCCUCUGGCCUGCACCCUGCCUCGGAGCCAGCUGACUAUGGACUGAAGCCUCCACAGACUGGGAACCGACAUAAACCUCUCCUUAUAGUUGAGGCUGUCCAGUGUCGUGUUCUAGCAACAAAACAGGUGACUAAGACAGUCACGGCCACUGCAAGGAAGCCGGUCCAAGCACAUCACUCCUUGGCAGCCCCAAGUUUUAAGACCAACAGAUACAGACAUUUAAAAUCACAUUUAAUUCUAAAAUUCCCCGCUUGGCAAUCCAAUCUUGGAGGACAGGAAUUGCCCCCUGACCUUCCUGCCCCCAGCACAUGGCUGUGAACUGAGUGAAUGAUGAAGUGCAUGUUGACAUUUGGGAAGAGGAAACUUAAGAGCAAACCGGACUUGGAGGAUAUUUUCAAUACAAAUUCAGAGCGGGCCUGUGUUAGAAACCAAUGUAAAAAGUCAUGUAGGCCCCAGCAAGGUUUUCAUAGACUGCGUGAGCUUAUGCUUAAGUAAGCAUGCAAAAGCUAAGGCUUCAGAAGAGCUCAAAGAGCUUUUAAGCAGCAGAAGAGAGUGGGAGGACUCAGCCUACCUGACCCUGAGAUGAGUGGAUGUCAACAUGAGGAUCGGUUUGUGGUGGAGGGGUGGACACAGGCCAGCAGAGCAGAGCGGACAACCCAGAGGGGCCUGUGCUCACGGGGCCCCAUUAGUUAUUUCCUAGCUCUGGGUUUGAGCCCAGGGCGUCACACCUGCGAGGUCCGGCCUCCAUCACUGAGCCCGCCCCCAGCCCCAUUUGCUUUUUGCGGGGGAGGGAUUCAGCCUUUUUAGCAACUGGAGCUGGAGCAAAGGGGCAACACUAAGACAGCAAGUUUUACAAAAGAGUUUCUUCACACAGCCAGGCGUGGAGGAGGAGAGCCAGGCUCAGCCUCCUCCCAGAGGGCAGGGCUUAGGGACAUUCAUGGAAGGAGUAGGAUGGCCUAAGGCGUGGGGAGGCCAGGGGCACAGGGGAGGUUGGCGGUGGGCUGCACGGCUCCUCAGAGGACACACGUCUGGAUAACACGGCACUGACAGAGCAGAGGGUGCAGCUCUUGACCCCUGGGUGUUGAAGAAGUCAUCUGUGACCCUGCACAGCCCCAUGCUCAGAGCUGGGGCCCUGCCAAGGUAGCCGGGCAGCCCAGAUGCCCAUUGCCUACCCUCCAGCUGGUCACCUGCAGAGGAGGUGGCUGGUCAGUGACACCAUGCGCAUCUUCCUGACCUCCAAAAUGCAAGACUUUCAAAGUCACCUAAAAGCAAGUAACAAUGCAAGUGUCCCUCAGUUUCAGACCUGCAGUUCCCUGCUUGACCGCCGGACCCUGCUCCUGAAGAGAGGAGUCGCUGGGUGCGGCCUCUCAAUGUCAGGCGUCUUUGCAGAGAGCCGCCCUCCCGGAGAGGUGCUCACGGGGGCCUGGACCUGGCCUGCGUCCUGCCGGUGAGCGGCACUGUGUGCAGUGCAGCCCUCUAUGACAACUUUUCAUUCAUCCUGGGUGAAACCCUAGGAGUGGAGCAGGUCAUCAGAGUCUGGCCUAUUUUGCCGACCACGACAAUCUUCAGUUCUACCCAUUGCUGGCAGCUGACAUGAUUUCCUGUUCGUUAUGGCUGAGGGCUUCUCGGCUCCAGUCUUACCCACUUUUCUCUGUCAGUUCACCUUUGGACAGACACCUACCUGAUUCCCCAACCUGGGCGUUCGGUUUUGAAAAGCUGCCAGGUUGUUGCCUGAGCCGGGCCGAUGUGGCAGAGCUCCAUCGCUGCUCUCUGGCCUGCACCUGGCGUGGUUGGCUUUUCAGCUGGGGCCGUCCUGGGUCCUGGUGGGCACUUCCUUAGGUCCCGAAUCUCUGGCCUCCCCUCGUCAUGGGGUCAGCCAGACGGACUGUGUGUCUGUUUCCCUGUCCCUGAAUGCUGUGGCAUUUGAAGGCUGACGGCUCAGCUGUCCUUCCAGGGCCAGGACCUGGUGGAGGUGGCAGGCUCAGCUGGCAGCACAACAUUCACGUGCAGUCCAGGCGACACCAGGUGUGUACCCCUGCCUCCCCACAGGCCGACUCCUAAUUCCCCGGCCAGAAUCGGCCCCAGGAAUCAGACAGCUGGAGGCCACUGGCGGGACCCAGAGCCAGCAGCCGGCACUCCGAGGAGCUGGCCAAGCCACCGAGGGCCCUGCCUGCCCGGAGGGGACCCCUGGUUCUGUUCCCUGGUUCUGCCUUGCCAGUGCCGGGUCCCGUGGGCUGCUUGCCUCCUGAUGUCCUCCAGAGAAACCAAGCAGUGCCCCGUCCUCUAAGCACCAGUCUCUCUGUGGUGCUGUCACCGGGCACGCGGCCCCGAGGGCACUCUUGGAGCACAGGGCAUCUCCUGUGGCAGGGCUGAAUUUCCAAGUGACUCACGGCAUCCAUCCACCUUCCCUGCCACCUCUGUCCCCUCUUUUGGCCCUGUAAUCCCCCUCAGAAGGGUUUUCCCGCGCUAUGCUCACCCUCCUUUCUCAGUGCAUGCCUUACAAAGAUUUCCCCCACCUGGGGUUGGUCUUCUCAGUCUUUAACUCUUAUCCACAGAGUUAUUCAGCAGGCAAAGCUUUCAAUUUUGGUAAACUCUGGGUUACAAAAUCUUUCCUUUUGCCGUGUGUGUACAUGUGUAUUCUAUUCAAGAAGUAUUUGCCUAUCCACGGCCUCAGACUUUCUCCAGUAUAACUCACAGGAGUUUUUAGGGUUUAACUCUUCAUUUAGGCCUGUUAUGAUUGUCACUUUGGAAUAUUUUAAGGUGUGUGAUAAGGGUUAGAGUUUAUCCUCUUUGCAUACAAUAUCACUUACUAGUAUUUUAUAAAAUUAGUUUGGAAAUUCCUAGUCCUGUGCAUUACGUGUAAAUUUUGAGUUAGCUUUUCAGCUUCUAUGAAGGGGCUACUCAAGUUGGAUUGGCAUUUAACUGAUGACAUCAUUUUGUGGAGAAUUACUCUCAAAAAUAUUGACUCAUUUAAGCCAUAAAGACUAUAUACAUUUCCUCUUUUUUAAGUCAUUUAAAAUUUUUCUCAGGAAUGCUUUAUGGUUUAGUAUACAGAUUUUGAACAUAGUUAUUAAAGUUAUUCAGUAUUUUAUUCUAUCAUUUAUUUACUUAUGCUUUUAGAAAUGUUUUUUUGCAAUAAUUUUCAAAUUGUUCAUUGUGAAUAUGUAUGGGUAUACACAUGUUUUUUGUAUGUUCACCAUGUGUUCUCCAGUGUGGCUAAUUUCAGUUAUUAGUCAGGUUAUCUUUUCUAUAGGUUUGUACAAAAUUCUACAUCAACGAUUAUGUUGUGUGUGCAUGAAGAAAUUCCCUCUUCCCUUUCUCAUCUGUCCACUGCCCUCACUGGGAUGCCAGCAUCCUGGGGGAAGGUGAGGGUCCCUUGUCCCUGCCCAGCUGGUGCCUGCUCUGGCCCUGAGAGGCAUCCUGAGCAGGUGAGAACAUUCCCUUCACUUGAUCACCAAGUGCUGUUACCAUGAACGGAGCUUCACUUUUCUGGGCAAUUACUUUUCUCCAUCUACUGAGAUAUAUUUUUCUAUGUAAAUCUACUUCCUUAAUGUAUGACAUUAAUUGAUUUUCAAAUGUUAAAUUAACCUUGCAUUCCUGGAAUUAACUCCAGUUGGCUGUGGUUAAAUUGCCAUUUUACAGGCCAGUGUCUCUUACAGACACAGAAAUAAAAAUUCUCCGACAUAGGAGCGAAUUGAGUUCAGUAAUGUAUUAAAGGAUAACAUAUGAUGUGUAAAUGGAUUUAUUGUAGGAAUUUUGAAAAGUCAGUCAAUGUAAUUUUCCUAUUAGCUGAAUAAAGGAGA